rnacentral:rRNA from 1 species
UCCUGAUGGCUCACAUGAAGUUUCGUGCCGUUCCGACCUCGUUUGAUACGGUUAUGGUUAACCACACGGCCCCUCGGGCCCGACCCGAGCCCAGUCAACGUUUUGACCCGAUCAAAUCGGCCCGUGACCCGAAACGACCCUACUUGGGCCCUACAACAGCCACGUAAAGUUUCGGGAUGAUCCGACGUUCUUUCAUGGGGUUACGGACAAUCCACGCCAAACAAGCGUCACAGGCCGACCGAGCCGGGCCAACGGGCCCUCGGGACCCGAAAACUGAAUUUUUUUUCAUCCAAACCCAUUAAAACACGUUACCGAGGUCUCACGCAAAAUUUCAUGCCAAUCCGACGUCGUUUGAUGGGGUUUUGAGAUAUUAUGAUUCCUCAAAAAUUUAAUGUCUGUUCCUGUCACUUAGCUUUUUGUGCAAAAUGUAUAUAUAGGGGAGGGGUGGGUGUUGAGCAGCCCAUGCCCGGGCAAGGCAUGCCAGCGCCCAAGCCAAAGGAGGCUGGUGGCGUGCGUAUAACAGCUCAAAUGCCCCAACGAUGACCGAGAACAAGCGCCCAUCUCCCCUCCUUCCCCCCCACCAAGCGCCCCUCCCCCCCCAUGUUGCCUGCCCACUCGCACAGCUACUCGUGAUUUCAUGCCCAGCGACUAGUGAAUGUGCCUCGACGACCAGCAAACCUCGAAAAUUAUGAUUCCUCGUAAAAUUAAUGUCUGUUCCUGUCACUUUACUUUUUGUGCAAAAUGUAUAUAUAGGGGAGACCAGGGGCUUGAGCAACCCCUGUGCCCAAGCAAGGGUCAGAUGGAAGCACACGAGACGCGAGGUUUAAAGCCUAUACAAGCAAGGCGUCUGUCUCCCCAAGCCCCAUUGCCUAUAAAACAAGCCCGAUGCCUUGUAAAUGCCCCACACGAUGCCUAUAAACGACAACGAUGUUUGCUAGUUAAUCGAUCGACGCCCCACACCUUGCAGCAUGUUGCCUAGUAAACAAGCCAUGCUGCCUUGGAAGCGCCCCACAUCAUGGCAUGUUGCCUAGCACGCUGCCCUUGUUUCCAGCACGGCGACCUGAAAGCGUGGCCUGACGACGUGCUUGCCUUCGAAAAUUAUGAUUCCUCAAAAAAUUAAUGUCUGUUCCUGUCACUUUACUUUUUGU